GAAUUCUCUUUAUUUGCUGCUGCUAUGGUUGCAUCACUUCAGGAGGUCAGUUCAAAAUAUCUUUCAGUAAAUGAACAGGUUACUCGUGGCAGAUUCAGACAGAGUACUAUGAGUUUCCUAACUACAAGAAAGUGUGCCAUCAAUUCCUAAAAAGAUAUUCAAAAACCUAAUUAAGUGAAAGAAACAUCCAACCCUUUAAAGGCUAAAUACUGUCGGAUUCUAACUACGGAUUGUAUGGAAGAAGACAAAAUUGUGAAGAGUUCUGUCUCUUUUGCCAGUGAGUUGGAGGAAGAAAGGGGUAAAAAUGGUGAAGCACAGAGGAUAUUUGCCAUGUUGUGGGAAGUAAAACCACACCUGGAAGUUUGAUCCACCAUCGGGAGCCAUGAAAAAGGCCUUUGCCUACAGAGCUGCAGCCUAAUCUCCUGCAGAAGGACUCUCUUUGCUCCCAGCCACAACAGCCAUCAAGCCUGCCUCUGCCAAACUAAGGACAAGGACAGCUGAGACCAGCCAGACCUCCCCUUCCUCCCCAACCCUGGCAAUGGGCUAGAUGCUGUCCCCAGCCCCACCACUGACUCCUCAGCUCUUCUCCAACUCCCAGCAGCUCCUGGAUGUCCAAGAAUCCAAAAGUCUGAGAAGCCCACAGCACCGGCCUCCUCCCAGGCCCCAGAAACCCCUAAACCAGUUUCUGCUUCCCCAUAUCUAAGAAUGUAUCAGAGCUGAUGCACUGUCCAACUCCCCAAGUGCCAUUCCCUGAAGUGGGGCAGACGCAGGCCUACACAGUCUAGAAGUUAUAAUUCUGUAGAGUAGAUGCCAUUAUACAUAUGUUACCCUAAGCCCUGUAGCUCGAGAGAACAUGAUGUAUCAGAGCAUGUUCAUCCGCAGUAGCAAAAGCACCGCUCGGGGAAGAGAACUGGAAACAGGUUGGCAUUUGCAUGUGGGGGCAAAAAGCACUCAGAAUAUCUCUAUACCAUCAUCAUGGUUCUGUUGUGAAGCUAAAGACACUCUAAACACUAAAAAUCACUUACAAAAAGAAAACGCAUUUAAAAUAGUAAAGUUAAAAAAAAAUUACCAGCCAGUAAAGCGAAUGAGAUGAUCAUAAAAAUAAGGGUUCUUAAUAAAAACUGCAUUUCUUUGGAGAUACACAAA